ACGGAGGGUGCAAGCGUUAAUCGGAAUUAUUGGGCGUAAAGCGCGUGUAGGCGGCUUAGCAAGUCGGGCGUGAAAGCCCUCGGCUCAACCGAGGAAGUGCACCCGAAACUGCUGAGCUUGAGUGCCGGAGAGGAUGGCGGAAUUCCCCAAGUAGAGGUGAAAUUCGUAGAUAUGGGGAGGAACACCGGUGGCGAAGGCGGCCAUCUGGACGGAUACUGACGCUGAGACGCGAAAGCGUGGGGAGCAAACAGGA
rnacentral:rRNA from 1 species